rnacentral:rRNA from 1 species
UACGUAGGGGGCGAGCGUUGUCCGGAUUCAUUGGGCGUAAAGCGCGCGUAGGCGGCUCCGCAAGUCGGCCGUGAAAUCUCCGGGCUCAACUCGGAGGGGUCGGGCGAGACUGCGAGGCUCGAGGUGGGCAGAGGGCAGUGGAAUUCCGGGUGUAGUGGUGGAAUGCGUAGAGAUCCGGAGGAACACCAGUGGCGAAGGCGGCUGCCUGGGCCUGGCCUGACGCUGAGGCGCGAAAGCGUGGGGAGCAAUCCGG